rnacentral:rRNA from 1 species
AUUGAACGCUGGCGGCAGGCCUAACACAUGCGAGUCGAGCGGAUGAAGGGAGCUUGCUCCUGGAUUCAGCGGCGGACGGGUGAGUAAUGCCUAGGAAUCUGCCUGGUAGUGGGGGAUAACGUCCGGAAACGGGCGCUAAUACCGCAUACGUCCUGAGGGAGAAAGUGGGGGAUCUUCGGACCUCACGCUAUCAGAUGAGCCUAGGUCGGACUAGCUAGUUGGUGGGGUAAAGGCCUACCAAGGCGACGAUCCGUAACUGGUCUGAGAGGAUGAUCAGUCACACUGGAACUGAGACACGGUCCAGACUCCUACGGGAGGCAGCAGUGGGGAAUAUUGGACAAUGGGCGAAAGCCUGAUCCAGCCAUGCCGCGUGUGUGAAGAAGGUCUUCGGAUUGUAAAGCACUUUAAGUUGGGAGGAAGGGCAGUAAGUUAAUACCUUGCUGUUUUGACGUUACCAACAGAAUAAGCACCGGCUAACUUCGUG